GACGAACGCUGGCGGCGUGCUUAACACAUGCAAGUCGAACGAAGAGCGAUGGAAGCUUGCUUCUAUCAAUCUUAGUGGCGAACGGGUGAGUCACGCGUAAUCAACCUGCCCUUCAGAGGGGGACAACAGUUGGAAACGACUGCUAAUACCGCAUACGAUCUAAUCUCGGCAUCGAGGAUAGAUGAAAGGUGGCCUCUACAUGUAAGCUAUCACUGAAGGAGGGGAUUGCGUCUGAUUAGCUAGUUGGAGGGGUAACGGCCCACCAAGGCGAUGAUCGGUAGCCGGUCUGAGAGGAUGGACGGCCACAUUGGGACUGAGACACGGCCCAGACUCCUACGGGAGGCAGCAGGGGGGAAUCUUCCGCAAUGGACGAAAGGCUGACGGAGCUACGCCGCGUGAGUGAUGACGGCCUUCGGGUUGUAAAGCUCUGUUAAUCGGGACGAAAGGCCUUCUUGCGAAUAGUGAGAAGGAUUGACGGUACCGGAAUAGAAAGCCACGGCUAACUACGUG
rnacentral:rRNA from 1 species